CCUAAGAAAUGAAGAAAGACGAAGAAAAUGGAUAAUUAAUUCUCGUCGAGAUCAAUGGAUUCCGGGCCCAGGAGCGUAUCUUUGUGAAGUACAUUUUGAAGAAAAUCAAUUUGAAUGCUCUAGGCAAGAUGGACGUAAAAAACUCAAGCCCAAUGCUGUGCCAACUCUUUUCAAUGUGCCUAAUCCCACACAACUGUUGACCCCACAACGUCUAAAAGGCAUUGGUUUACCAAAGCACCGUUCAGUUACAUCCAAUUUUUGUAAUGAUGGCUUGCUGCACAGUUUACCUUUAUCAACUGAAGCGAUUUCUGUUGCUGAACCAUCUGUUGUAAGUCUUCAUUUGAACAGUUAUUAAAUAUUUAGUAUUAUAAACUUUUUCUAAAAAGUAUUAACACUGUUUCUAAAAUUUAAAAAUAUGUUAACGUAAUAUUUACUUAAGUUUAAGAAGUAUGAAUGCUAUGAACAGUCCAAUGUAUUUAUUGCUUUUUUAUAAGUUGACAG